GACAGAGGGUGCAAACGUUGCUCGGAAUCACUGGGCGUAAAGGGCGUGUAGGCGGCCAGGUAGGUCUGCUGUGAAAACUCGAGGCUCAACCUCGAGACGUCGGCGGAAACCAUCUGGCUAGAGUCCGGAAGAGGAGAGUGGAAUUCCUGGUGUAGCGGUGAAAUGCGCAGAUAUCAGGAAGAACACCCGUGGCGAAGGCAGCUCGCUGGGACGUUACUGACGCUGGAGAACGCGAAAGCGUGGGGAGCAAACAGG
rnacentral:rRNA from 1 species